UACUGCCUGGGCCCUGCCCACGGUAGGUAUUGUGACAUACCUCUGAACUCGUUGCCUAGGUGAUGUGACUUUUUUCUUUUGCCUGCAUUCUGCCCCUUGAAAAUGGACUGUGACAUACCACAGGCCCAAGUACUUAGAUGAUAUGAUUCUCCUCUUCUGCCUGGGUCAUGGCAACAGGAGGAUGAAUUAUUUUAGCAAGCCCAGAUUACAGGUAAGAGAGGAGAGUCAUAUCACCUAGACGCUGGUCCUAGAGAUAUGCCACAAUCUAUUCUAUGGGCACAGUUCAGUUUCAGAUAUGACAGUCAACACAUCCUGAAUGUUGGGUCCAACUACAUGAGGCACGUCUCAUCAGUGAACCAGAUCUAUGCGUCAUAGCCUCAAUUCCUAUUGCAUGUUGUGUUGACUUAAUGGAGUCCCAGUUUUCUUGGUGUGCUGAAUCCUGGUCUGAGAGUCACCAACCCACCUGUGGACCACAUUUAUGUAUAAGAGCCUUUUUUAAAAAAAAUCUUCUGACUGCCUCUGGUUGUUAGAUUUAGAACCUCAAUGGUGCACUGUGUUGAUGUAUGUAUGACUUACAUCUUUACUUGACCAUCUUUACUUUCAGCUGGGUGGUUGACCAUCUUUACUUUCAGCUGGAUGUUCAUAUGAGGGUCACAAUCU